rnacentral:tRNA from 1 species
UGCCUCUGUGGCUUAGUGGUAGAGCGACUGAUUCGUAAUCAGUAGGUCGGGGGUUCAAAGCCCUCAGUCCA